CAACCUUGAAGUCUUACCUUAAGGGAACAUCUGCACCUUGCCCGUUUCUAGUAGCUUUUAUUUCCUGAGCUCAUGAGUUGUCUCAGCCUUCAUAAAGAAAACACUUUUCCUGCGGGCUAAAGAGCACUGUUGCUACUUACCACAUUCUGUCCUGACCAUCUCCUGAUGCCUACUAUCAAGCACAUGGAAUCUAUUUCCUGUCGAAACCUCUGCAGUGUAAAAUGUCAUAAUCUUCCUUCUACAAUUAACUUCAU